CUUGUAUGGUAUAAGUUUUACUGAGUUAAUACAGCUGGAUAAAACAAAAAACUGUGUCCAUCUUUAUUUCAGGCUGCAAAGCAGAAAAAUGUGAUUAUUUUAAGGUUGGUGAUUCUUUUCUAUACCCACUGUAUGGGUGGCUUUAAUUAGAACAUUAUUCUGUGAGACACAACAUGAGAUCCUGGAGUAUCUACUGUCCCGAGGCCUGUAAAGCUUCACUGUGUUCUAUCAUAGCUAUUGAACACAGUCACAUUGCUGAUGACAGUUCAGGGUCAUAAUUAAUCAUCGUGGACAGACAUAUGGCUGGAGUUUUGCUCCCCUGCAUUUCAUUCUGGAUUUUAGAUUGCUGCAGAAGAAAGGCUGAAUGCUGAUAAAACAAGUGGUGAUGGGAACAAACAGGUUGUCAGGGACCUUAAACCUCAUCAUGCUGAACAGGGACCUCCAUUACAGGCCAGAAGAAGACGCACACUCGGAGCGGGCCACUGCAGGGAGCUGCAUUCAUCAGAUUCUACCUUCCCCAUUUUAUUUGUGUAUCUGCUCUUCCUUCUUCAGUCAGAUAAAAAGAGCCAUCGGGUGGACAGGCCAAGCCUGAUGAAUACAGAAGGGAAGGAGGAGGGUGGGAGAUUAGAGCCCUGGAGAGAGAGAGAGAAAGAGCUUGCUGGAAAACGAAAGAUAAGCGGAAAGAGGUGAACAGGAACACUUGUCACUGCAGAUGUUGGCCUUGAUUUCUCCGAGCGGGAGAGAAGAUGUUCACGAGUGUGGCUGGACAUAAUGUAGUGGCCAAAUCUGUAAGGUCCUCCUCUCAGAACUCUGUGACAGCGCUGUUCCCUGAAGAUAUGGAGUAACAUGUUCAUAAGGUCAGCAGACCAACAACAGUUCUUCUGCCAAAUAUUAAAGGAAUGUUCCGGACUCUAUACAAGUUAAGGUCAAUCAACGCCAUUUGGGGCAAUGUUGUUUACCACAAAAAUAAAUUUGACUUAAAAAAAUCAAUACUUUUACUUAAGUGUGGCUUUCAAGUAUUUUAUUUACCGCUGCGACAGUUAGCGUAAGCUACAGUAUAUAAAGUUUUAAAUAUAGAUAUUUUUCUUACACA
ensembl:lncRNA